rnacentral:rRNA from 1 species
AGAGUUGAUCCUCGGCUCAGGAUGAACGCUAGCGACAGGCUUAACACAUGCAAGUCGAGGGGCAGCACGGGAGUAGCAAUACAACUGGUGGCGACCGGCGCACGGGUGAGUAACGCGUAUGCAACCUACCUAUCAGAGGGGAAUAACCCGGCGAAAGUCGGACUAAUACCGCAUAAAACAGGGGCACCGCAUGGUGAUAUUUGUUAAAGAGAUUCGCUGAUAGAUGGGCAUGCGUUCCAUUAGGUAGUUGGUGAGGUAACGGCUCACCAAGCCGACGAUGGAUAGGGAACUGAGAGGUUGGUCCCCCACACUGGUACUGAGACACGGACCAGACUCCUACGGGAGGCAGCAGUGAGGAAUAUUGGUCAAUGGGCGGGAGCCUGAACCAGCCAAGUCGCGUGAAGGAAGAAGGAUCUAUGGUUCGUAAACUUCUUUCGCAGGGGAAUAAAGUGCAGGACGUGUCCUGUUUUGUAUGUACCCUGAGAAUAAGGAUCGGCUAACUCCGUGCCAGCCGCCGC